UACGAAGGGAGCUAGCGUUGUUCGGAAUCACUGGGCGUAAAGCGCACGUAGGCGGAUGUGUCAGUCAGGGGUGAAAUCCCGGAGCUCAACUUCGGAACUGCCUUUGAUACAGCACGUCUUGAGUCCGAUAGAGGUGGGUGGAAUUCCUAGUGUAGAGGUGAAAUUCGUAGAUAUUAGGAAGAACACCGGUGGCAGAAGGCGGCCCACUGGAUCGGUACUGACGCUGAGGUGCGAAAGCGUGGGGAGCAAACAGG
rnacentral:rRNA from 1 species